UGAAGACAAACUUCUGCGAAAGCAUUUGCCAAGAAUGUUUUCAUUAAUCAAGAACGAAAGUUAGAGGUUCGAAGGCGAUUAGAUACCGCCCUAGUUCUAACCAUAAACGAUGCCAGCUAGCGAUCUGCAGGUGUUUUAUUUUCUGACUCUGCAGGGAGCUUCCGGGAAACCAAAGCUUGUGGGUUCCAGGGGAAGUAUGGUUGCAAAGCUGAAACUUAAAGGAAUUGACGGAAGGGCACCACCAGGAGUGGAGCCUGUGGCUUAAUUUGACUCAACACGGGAAAUCUCACCAGGCCCGGACACCAGAAGGAUUGACAGAUUGAUAGCUCUUUCUUGAUUUGGUGGGUGGUGGUGCAUGGCCGUUCUUAGUUGGUGGAGUGAUUUGUCUGGUUAAU
rnacentral:rRNA from 1 species